rnacentral:rRNA from 1 species
UACCAGCACCCCGAGUGGUCGGGACGAUUAUUGGGCCUAAAGCAUCCGUAGCCGGUUCUACAAGUCUUCCGUUAAAUCCACCUGCCUAACAGAUGGGCUGCGGAGGAUACUAUGGAGCUAGGAGGCGGGAGAGGCAAGCGGUACUUAGUGGGUAGGGGUAAAAUCCGUUGAUCCAUUGAAGACCACCAGUGGCGAAGGCGGCUUGCCAGAACGCACUCG